CCUACGGGUGACAGCAGUGGGGAAUAUUGCACAAUGGGCGAAAGCCUGAUGCAGCAACGCCGCGUGAAGGAAGAAGGGUUUCGGCUCGUAAACUUCUAUCAACAGGGACGAAAGAAAUGACGGUACCUGAAUAAGAAGCGCCGGAUAACUACGUGCCAGCCGCCGCGGUAAUUCGGAGGGAGCAAGCGUUAUCCGGAAUUACUGGGUGUAAAGGGUGAGUAGGCGGCAUGGUAAGACAGAUGUGAAAGCCUUGGGCUUAACACGAGGACUGCAUUUGAAACUGUCAAGCUAGAGUACAGGAGAGGAAAGCGGAAUUCCUAGUGUAGCGGUGAAAUGCGUAGAUAUUAGGAAGAACACCAGUGGCGAAGGCGGCUUACUGGACUGAAACUGACGCUGAGGCACGAAAGCGUGGGGAGCGAACAGGAUUAGAUACCCGUGUAGUC
rnacentral:rRNA from 1 species